GACGAACGCUGGCGGCGUGCUUAAAACAUGCAAGUCGAACGCGACGGCCCUUCGGGGCCUGGGAGUGGCGAACGGCGGAGUAAUACGUAAGCAACGUGCCCUGAAGACUGGGAUAUACCGGGGAAACCCGGGGCAAUACCGGAUGUGGCCGCGACCCGGCAUCGGGACGCGAUUAAACGGUUUUUCGCUUCAGGAGCGGCUUACGCCCUAUCAGCUUGUUGGUGAGGUAACGGCUUACCAAGGCUUCGACGGGUAACUGGUCUGAGGGGAUGGCCAGUCCGAGUGGGACUGAGACACGGCCCACACACCUACGGGUGGCAGCAGUUGGGAAUAUUGCACAAUGGGGGCAACCCUGAUGCAGCGACGCCGCGUGGAGGAUGACAGAUCUAGGUCCGUAAACUCCUUUUAUCGGGAAAGACUUAGGACGGUACCCGAUGAAUAAGCUCCGGCUAACUACGUG
rnacentral:rRNA from 1 species